CGCGUAGGCGGCAGUGUAUGUCAGAUGUGAAAUACUCCGGCUCAACCAGGGAACAGCAUCUGAAACUGCACAGCUAGAGUACAGAAGAGGGAAACGGAAUUCCCGGUGUAGAGGUGAAAUUCGUAGAUAUCGGGAGGAACACCAGUGGCGAAGGCGGUUUCCUGGUCUGAUACUGACGCUGAGGCGCGAAAGCGUGGGGAGCAAACA
rnacentral:rRNA from 1 species